GCCAGUGUGGCGUAGUGGUUUUGGUGUUUGACUAGGACCCUGGAAGCCAGGGUUCAAGUCUCCACUCAGCCA